rnacentral:tRNA from 1 species
GCUUGUCUAGCUCAGUUGGCAGAGCGCAAGGCUUUUAACCUUAAGGUCGUGGGUUCGAGCCCCACUGUGAACA